GUACCCUUAGCUCAGCUGGAUAGAGUGUCUGGCUACGAACCAGAAGGUCGGGGGUUCGACUCCCUCAGGGUACGCCA
rnacentral:tRNA from 8 species